rnacentral:rRNA from 1 species
CCUACGGGAGGCUGCAGUAGGGAAUCUUCCACAAUGGGCGAAAGCCUGAUGGAGCAACGCCGCGUGGGUGAAGAAGGUCUUCGGAUCGUAAAACCCUGUUGUUAGAGAAGAAAGUGCGUGAGAGUAACUGUUCACGUUUCGACGGUAUCUAACCAGAAAGCCACGGCUAACUACGUGCCAGCAGCCGCGGUAAUACGUAGGUGGCAAGCGUUAUCCGGAUUUAUUGGGCGUAAAGGGAACGCAGGCGGUCUUUUAAGUCUGAUGUGAAAGCCUUCGGCUUAACCGGAGUAGUGCAUUGGAAACUGGGAGACGUGAGGGCAGAAGAGGAGAGUGGAACUCCAUGUGUAGCGGUGAAAUGCGUAGAUAUAUGGAAGAACACCAGUGCGAAAGCGGCUCUCUGGUCUGUAACUGACGCUGAGGUUCGAAAGCGUGGGUAGCAAACAGGAUUAGAUACCCUGGUAGUC